CCUCGGGUGGCAGCAGUGGGGAAUAUUGGACAAUGGGCGAAAGCCUGAUCCAGCCAUGCCGCGUGUGUGAAGAAGGCCUUCGGGUUGUAAAGCACUUUCAGUUGGGAAGAAAGCCUUGGGGCUAAUACCCUCGAGGAAGGACAUCACCCACAGAAGAAGCACCGGCUAACUCCGUGCCAGCAGCCGCGGUAAUACGGAGGGUGCGAGCGUUAAUCGGAAUUACUGGGCGUAAAGCGCGCGUAGGCGGUCUGAUAAGCCGGUUGUGAAAGCCCCGGGCUUAACCUGGGAACGGCAUCCGGAACUGUCAGGCUAGAGUGCAGGAGAGGAAGGUAGAAUUCCCGGUGUAGCGGUGAAAUGCGUAGAGAUCGGGAGGAAUACCAGUGGCGAAGGCGGCCUUCUGGACUGACACUGACGCUGAGGUGCGAAAGCGUGGGUAGCAAACAGGAUUAGAUACCCGAGUAGUC
rnacentral:rRNA from 1 species